rnacentral:rRNA from 1 species
GUCUACAGCCAUGCCACCCUGAACAAGCCCGAUCCUGUCUCACCUUGGUAGCUAAGCAGGGUCGGGCCUGGUUAGUACUUGGAUGGGAAACCACCUAGGAAGACCAGGUGCUGUAGGCG